UUAAAGCAAAUUAUGCUUUAUUUAAUAUAAAUUUAUUUUCGUACUUUAUACAGGCAUUGCAUGUGAUAAAGGCAGCUGGUAAACCUGUCAAGCGGACAGCAGCUGUGUGACUCAAUAGUGGAGAAUUGCGCAUUGGGAAAUUCAAUUUAAAUUGAACUCUUCAUACGAAUACAGAAUUAACACUGUCAUAAACUAAAUGAGAGCGAUUUUCAUUCAUUUUUAAACUCAAAAAAGCUUUCUCAUUGAAAAAAAUUGGAUUAAAUAGACAGUUUUGGCUCUUACAUUAUAUUGGCACAGAUAGACGACAGUGCGUAUGAGUGAAAUUUCUGGGUCAACUGAGUAAUUAAUGCAAGUAGUGCAACAAGCAAAUCAUCAUUAACAUAGCGCGCACAGCUCCUCAGCUCCUUAGUGUGAUCAAAUUUAUACACACUGGAAUAUUUGUAAACAAAGGCAACUAAUUGAUUUUGACUCGUGGCGAAAACAAAUGUAAAUGGGUAAUAAAAAUCGAAAGUAAACAAAAUCGAAAGCGAACGCACAGCAAAAUUAAGCGUAGAACUAAAUAGCACAAGAGCUGUGAUAAAAAAUUGCAAGCGCGCAAAAUAAUUAGAAAAAAAUGUAAAAAAUUCGUUGCGGUAAUACAAAAAUAAAUAGGAAACAUAUAAUAGCGAAAUUAAAGUAGCGAAGUGAUGUGUUCAAAAAAUAACGGGAAUUUUUGAUUUUUGAAUACAAAAAAAAAAUAUGUUUAUCAGUAGGGCUCGCUAAAGCUGUAAAGUUUUUAAGUAAACAUGUAAUAAAAGUAGCGCUACAACCGCUCAUGUAUGUGAUGUGUUAAAAAAAAACGGGAAUUUUAGUUUUUGAAAAAAAUAUUUUUAUAUUUAAAUAUUCAAAUUUGGGCAUUUGACCACUCUAAAACCAUAAAAUUUGAAAAUUCAAAAUUCCCGUUAUUUUUUGAACACAUCACAUACAAUAAAAUAUUUACAAAUAUGGUGUAUAUUGACGCGAAUUACCGCGGUUUCUCGAUGCGCGCCGUAACAAAUUGGUUCAGCGGCACUUCGAUUGCUCGGUUGACCGGCGUCGUGCGAGUCUACAGCGGUGGCUGCGAUUCUCAAAAGCAUUUCUUGUGUUGUUGCGUUCAAGACUGUUUGGAUACGUUUAAAUUAAUUUAAAUUGAUACUCUACGCGUACGUGUAUAUUCGUAAGACAGCAGAAAAUAAAUAAAUAUAUAAAUAUAUGAAACAAUAAAAGCAACAGCAACAACAACACUGGCUGCGGUCACACAAAUUCAGUUUUAUUGAUAGGCGCAUAUAGACGCCCCAAACGAACCGCGAACCGCUUCGAACUCGUUACAACCAAUUGGCGACCAGUUUAAUCCAAGACAAUGAUUUUCCAUUUAAAAAUUUAUUGUACGAGUAUAUCUGCAUAUACAAUUUUACGCUGCGGUAACUCCCCGUUAUUUGAAAAACGGGUAAUAUGGAUGAUAGCUUACAUACACGAGUAGAUAUUUCAUGAUAAUUUGGGAUAUAAAUAAAUGUUCUAAUAAUAAUAACUACACCGUUUUAGUCACCAACGUAUUAACACGAAAAUUCUAUUUUUUUUCUCUUUCGAAAACAGUUAAAAUGGCACUUCAAAGCACUUGACUUGUAUUUAUGAUGCUUCCUAGGUUGAACUGAUGCUUUGGUCACUAUCCUAUAUAUGUACAUUACAUAUAUGGCAUAAGUCCUUAAACCUUUACCGUUACACUAUAUUCUUAUCAUCUAACCAUACACAUAUAUUUUUUUCUUCUCCAAAUUUCACUAUUUUAUUCUUUGUUUCGUUCACUUUUUGGUACAUACCCUGUGUUCUGAUCGCUCUCCGGCGUUUGCUGCUGCAGUAGCGCCCAGCAAAUAACCCUCUAUAAUGUGCCGUUAAGGCUUAUAUUGUGGAAACAUUGUUUUUGGUACCAUUUCAUUGUGGAACUGUACGAAAAUUUUCGAAAAAAAGAGAAAAAACAACACACGCACGCACGCCGACCUGCACGAUUUUCAUAUUGAAAACGUUCCACAUUCAAUAAACGCGCGUGAAUACAUAUUGAUAUAUGUAGGUUUAUAGACGUAGCUGAAGGAGUGUGCGUUUAUUUCGGCACUUGUUUUGCUGGCAUUUCGUUAUACAUUCGAUGUAUAAUAUGGAAAAUUGUACGAUACUGUGGUUCCACAACAAAUUCGUGGCAGUUUUGAAUGCGUUCCAAAACUGUGAACGAAUAUUGAAGGUGGAAUAAUUGUGGUUAGAUGGCAACAACGUCAGUUUUCGUGUAUAAAAUUAUCAAUAAAUACUUAAUUGUAUUCUCUACUAAAUAAGGAAGGCCAUAAUCGUUUUGGGUUGGCAUGUUAGCAGCAAUUUUACAUACGCUCCCAAAAGAUAAGAGUUUUCUUAGUUUUUGAGGCGUAAAGUAAGAUCGGGAAAUUAAUAUAUAUAGUCUUUCACAUUUAUUAGUUGUAACAGAGGUUUUCGAAAAGAGAUGUGUUCAAAAAAUAAUGGGAUUUUUUUUUAAAUAUUUAUUCACUUGUCUACAUUAUUUUUGUAGCCUUCAAAAUAGUCCCCAUUCGAUGUUAUGCACUUAUGCCAGCGCUUCUUCCGACACUUCUCGAACUCGAUAGUCGUUGGCUCUUUCAGCGAUUUAUCGUAUGCUUGUAAAAUUAUGGCCCUUUAAGGUUCUCUUUAUUUUUGGAAUUAUAAAACAGUAAAAAAUGGAGUGUAUAGCAUUGUUACAGUACUGUUUUUGGUCAAUAGAGUUAACGAAAUUCUCCAAAUUCGUGAACUUUUUUAUAUUUUCCAAUUCACGUUAUUUUUUGAACACACUAUGUACAUACCAUACAGUUUUCCAUGUUUAUUGGUGUUGGAUCAGAAUUUGUUUAAAGAUACCCGAUUUCUAUGGGGUAAGAGUGGAAAAAUAGCCUUAUAGAACUAUAGAUCUCUGUUCCUAGAUUAUGUGAGAUAAAAUUACUUUCAAAAGGAUAUAUAAAUGUGAUGAGAAUACUGUUCAUUAGAUCAGUUUCUAAGUCCGGUACAUAAAGGUGAAAUAUAACAUUCUCUGGUCUACAUCACAAGCAUUUAUAGCAACGAGAUCUAAGCGAAGUACAUAAAAGUAAGUAAUAUCUACAUUGUGACUAAACAAGGGAGAGAAUUCGAUCAACAAUAAGCAUAAGGACUCACUGCCCACUAUGGAGGAAAUAGCGAAAUUAUUCACAAGAAGCUUUGGACAUUGUAUACGAGGAACGACAACAAUAAACACAAAAGAAAAAUAUUUUAAGACGAAAGGAAGCAAGGAAGAGGCCUACAAAGUACAAAAUAUGCAUUUUUAUGAGGUAAUGAAAUUUUGUAAUUUCAAAUAAUUUAAGAAUUUGUAAUUAACGGUAAUAAGCAGAAGUCACAUGUGCGCGUCACUUGAUGGAUGGAACGUACAUAUAUCACUUAGUUUGUUUAUCAUUUUCGCGAGUAUAAACACAAGCACACACACACACAUAGAAAAAUAGAUUUUAUAUAUAUAACCGCUAUGGAUGUAUGUAUGUAUGUAUAUUUAACAAUUUAUUAUAUUGGAUUAAAAACUAAGUAAAUAGCAAACACAAACACACACAAUUAAACCACUUUGUUAUCCAAGUAAAUACAAAAGCACAUACAUACAUACAUACAUACGCGCGCCUAAUUAGACGCGCUACAACGUAGUUGUAGUUAGAAAUGAAAUUUAAUGUAAUUUAUUUAUCGUCAACAAAAGAAAAAUAUUUACAUUUUCAAAACGUCCAUCUGAGCGAAAUGUGAUAAAGCAAGCAUACGUGUGUGUGUGUGUGUGAGAGAGAGCGAAGCGCGAGAGCAACAGGUUGUUGACGCAUGGCGGGCGCUUGACAGUUGAUGGCUGACAGUUGAGCGACUGCCGGUCGAGCAAAGCAAAGCAAAGCACAGCGCGAGCGCCAGCGUGUCGGUGCAACAUGGCGUAUGAGCAACAAAAAGCGCUUAGUGAUAGCCAUAGCCAAGAGUGUGGAGAGUUUUCGUUUUGUAUUUCGUAAUUUUUUAUUUUAUUUUCUUUAAUUUUCAGAUACAUAUGCAUGUUUAUAUUAGUGACCAUAUGGAAGUGAGGAAGUGUGGCAGCGUAAAUAUAUUUGCUUGUUCGUUGGCUUGUAAGGCUGCGUGGGCGUGUGUUUUGUUUUCUCGUGUUCUACACUUGUGCGUAUGUAUGUUGUGUGUGUGCUUGUCAGUCAAACUGUCUGCCGUGGCAACAUUGGCAUGUCCUUCACAUUCACGAAAUAUCUAUGUACAUACAACGUAGAGUGGCGCUAGAUAAAAAGGUGACUCAGUACAUAUAACAUAGAGAUUAUGGCUUAUCUAUGUUAUGCGAGUAAACAGCUUUGGAUUGCAUAAAAUUGGCUUGAAGGCAGCAAAUAAAAAUAUUUUUUUUAUUAAAAAUAUUUUAUUUUAUUUUAUUAAAAAUAUUUUUUUUUAUAAAAAUUCAAUUUUUUUUCUUAUGAUAAAAUUUGUUUUUGUAGCAAACACUUCAAGUGCACACAGUUAGUGAGCACCCUCCUCCCAGUCGCCGCGAUCGUGAUCGCUUUUGUUUACCUACCUUUGGGAUAAUUCAAUUUGACGAUCCACAGCGUGUAAUCGCCGCUAGCGAGCAGGUAGUAGCCGGAGAAGCAGCGUUGCUCUUGUUGUUGUUGUACGCAAGUGGCGUUUGUUGCGACGUUGACGUUGCUGUUGACGUCGCGGUCGCUAUUGCUGUGUGCUGUUGCGUUAACUUGCUGUAGUCGGCAGUUAUGCGUCUCAUAAAUGCCACUGUCCAGUGUUUCCAUUCAAAAAAGUGUAUCGACAGCGUUGCUGACGUUGCACGUCCGUUUGUUGUUGUUGUUUGCAAUGGUGCGGUGGCUUCGUUGAGGAAAUCUUGACUUGGCGACAGUUGAGCGUGGCUCCAAUUCGUAUCGCGUAUUUUCUUAAGUCACGUAAACUUGCGUAAAACAACAAUAAACACUGACUGUAUGUAUCGCGUGCGUAGUCCAAACGACGUCAAAGCUGAUUUUAUGCUGCUGAUUGAGUUCGCGUUCUUUUCUUUAGCAAUUGAGCUUUGUUGAUUGUAAUCUCAACAAAAUUAAAAAAAAAAAAAUUUGCUCCUCUUUUACUUUUAUUGUGUUGCAUUAACUAUUGUACUAUUCUCUUGAUUGUGACAUUUAUUGUUUGAGUGAUUCUUUAUUAUGUGUUGGUUAUUUGUAGUUGUUGUCUAUUUUUUGUCUAUUUUGUGGCUUCUAACUCGUGUGUUUUUGGCGUACUUCCGUUAA